rnacentral:rRNA from 1 species
UACGGCGGUCAUAGCAAAGAGGAUCCACCCGUUCCCAUUCCGAACACGGAAGUUAAGCUCUUUAGCGCUGAUGGUACUGCACGGGCGACUGUGUGGGAGAGUAAGUCAUCGCCGUAU